AUCAGGGAGGGGGAGGAGUGAGAGGUAUGGGGAGAGCGAGGAAGGGGGAGACAGCGAAAAAGAGAAAGAAAAGGAGAGCGAUACAAUUGAAAAUGGAGAAAGGAAGAGAGAUUAAGUAAAGUAUAACUGAGGAUGAUCGAGGAAGUAGACCUAACCUGUAAAAAAUGUGACAAACAAAUUGAGAAAUUGUGGAACUGACAUGGAAUUCUCAAUUGACCCAACAAUUUCUACUGGAGCAAUGUGAAGUUGAUCACCCAAGACCCAGCAAUUUUGGAACAUGUGGAAACCUGCUCCACCUAUUGAAAUGCACCUUUUGUUAGAGCUUUCUGUGAGGAAAACCAGUGGCGGAUUCAUGAAGCGCAAGGGAAAUUCCUGCUAUAAAAAAAGAGGUCCGCCCAGAACAGACCCUUACUGUGAGCUGCCCAGGAGGAGACACAUCAUCCACAAAACAAUGGAGGAAUGGCAACUGAUUUCAGACCUGAGCCCUAGGACCUUGCCUCAGGACUACCUGGCAUGAUGACUCCUUGCUGUCCCCAG